AUGCAGACAUGGUCGUCAAGGUGGUCGUGCCGAACCGUGUCCUCCGUGAGUACGAAGUCCUUGUCCGCAAUCCCCCCUUCGGCACAUCCUGUCAUUUCCAUUGACGGUGAGGAGCCGGAGGGGCAGGUCGUCGCUCGCCCUCGCGUCGCACGGGCGGCCGUCGACGAAGAGAGGCAGAAGGCAAUUGAUGUGGAGGUGCUGCCUGACGUGGACGUGGAUGUCCCGAUGAAGCUGGAGGAGCAACCGGAGGAGGUGGAGCCCUUGGUGCAGCGCAGAAGAAGCAGAACAAGGAGAAGAAGGAGAAGAAGCCCUUAG
rnacentral:rRNA from 1 species